UACAGAGGUCUCAAGCGUUGUUCGGAUUCAUUGGGCGUAAAGGGUGCGUAGGCGGCGCGGUAAGUCGGGUGUGAAAUCUCGGGGCUUAACUCCGAAACUGCAUUCGAUACUGCCGUGCUUGAGGACUGGAGAGGAGACUGGAAUUUACGGUGUAGCGGUGAAAUGCGUAGAUAUCGUAAGGAAGACCAGUGGCGAAGGCGGGUCUC
rnacentral:rRNA from 1 species